CUUCCGACCAAGAAGAAUUACCCUCAACAAAUGAAUCAGAAUCUGAAAGUGAACUCUGUUCUGUAGCAGAAGUGAAGGAUGCAAAGCGCCUUUUAACUCUGAUUCCUUUGUGGACAACCUUCCUCAUGUACAGUCUGGUACAGGCAGCAGGGAACACUUUCUUCAUUGAACAAAGCGAUGGCAUGGAUUUUAAAGUUGGCAGCUAUAAUGUCCCUAUCAAUUUGUUCUUUGUACUUAAGUCAUUAACGGGAG
rnacentral:misc_RNA from 1 species